rnacentral:rRNA from 1 species
AACGAACGCUGGCGGCAUGCCUAACACAUGCAAGUCGAACGAGACCUUCGGGUCUAGUGGCGCACGGGUGCGUAACGCGUGGGAACCUGCCCUUAGGUUCGGAAUAACUCCCCGAAAGGGGUGCUAAUACCGGAUAAUGUCUUCGGACCAAAGAUUUAUCGCCUUUGGAUGGGCCCGCGUUGGAUUAGCUAGUUGGUAGGGUAAAAGCCUACCAAGGCGACGAUCCAUAGCUGGUCUGAGAGGAUGAUCAGCCACACUGGGACUGAGGCACGGCCCAGACUCCUGCGGGAGGCAGCAGUGGGGAAUAUUGGACAAUGGGCGAAAGCCUGAUCCAGCAAUGCCGCGUGAGUGAUGAAGGCCUUAGGGUUGUAAAGCUCUUUUACCCGGGAUGAUAAUGACAGUACCGGGAGAAUAAGCUCCGGCUAACUCCGUG